rnacentral:rRNA from 1 species
AACCAGACUCCUACGGGAGGCAGCAGUGGGGAAUAUUGCACAAUGGGGGAAACCCUGAUGCAGCGACGCCGCGUGAAGGAAGAAGUAUUUCGGUAUGUAAACUUCUAUCAGCAGGGAAGAAAAUGACGGUACCUGACUAAGAAGCCCCGGCUAACUACGUGCCAGCAGCCGCGGUAAUACGUAGGGGGCAAGCGUUAUCCGGAUUUACUGGGUGUAAAGGGAGCGUAGGCGGUUUAGCAAGUCAGAAGUGAAAGCCCGGGGCUCAACUCCGGGACUGCUUUGGAAACUGUGCAUCUUGAGUACGGGAGGGGCAGGCGGAAUUCCUGGUGUAGCGGUGAAAUGCGUAGAUAUCAGGAGGAACACCGGCGGCGAAGGCGGCCUGCUGGACCGAAACUGACGUUGAGGCUCGAAAGCGUGGGGAGCAAACAGGAUUAGAUACCCCCGUA